UACUAUAUAAUAUUAUAAGUUACUCUAUGACGGGAACUACCGCACGCUAUAAGCUGAAGUCCACGCGGACGGAGUCGCGGGCAACAGCUAGUUAAAAAAAAAACAAUAU